GGCGAACAACCCGCUUCCCAGCUAGCAGCAGCUUGCACGAUGCCAUUGUGAUCUCACUGAAUACGAAGCCACCGUCUCUUCUCCCUCCAAAAUCCCCACAUACACUUUCUGCCUUCCUGCCUGUUGCCUCAUGCCCCAGGGUGGCUGUCAUAGCACAGGGCAUCACACCGCUACACCAGCAUCUCAAACGGGAAGAAAGUGGCAGGUGUACAAAGGAUGACCACUUUGUGAAUCAGUUCCAGUUCCUGCGUCCUCCCCUUGUUCCUGCGGGCGGGGGAUGGCAUCACACGGGCGUGGUGAAUCCUGGCCCUUGGGACUUCCCUGCGCCUUGCACAGAUCGCACAGAUUGUGGUAGAUGGUCCCUUGCAAGUGUCAUCCUGCCUGAUGCAUCACCACCGAGGAAGCGACCGAAGUCAGAGACAGAGGAUGCUGCCACUCCCCAAGAAUGAAGCCGGUAGGGGAUAUUAUUGGACUUCGUAUGUGAUGGCAGUGACUCAACAGAAAGAAAAAUUGCUGAUGCAAGAAAAAGAGUGUCUUGCCUCGUCCAGGCAAGAGGGCAUCAGACUUGGGACAGCUCACUCGAGGCAGGGAAAGAAAAGCGGGUUGCACGAUUGCAGGCACAGGGCUUCAUUCCCAUCACCUAGGCUGCAGUACAGGGGUGUGAUCUCAGCUCACUGCAACCUCCACCUCCUGGACUCAAGCAACCCUCCCAUUCCAGCCUCCCAAGUAGCAAGGACUACAGGCACACACCACCAUGCCAGGCUAAUUUUUGUUUGUUUGUUUGUUUUUGUUGAGACGGUGUUUCACCAUGUUGCCCAGGCUGGCCUCGAACUCCGAGUUCAAGUGAUCUGCCCACUUGGCCUCCCAAAGUGCUGGGAUUACAGGCACGAGCCACC
rnacentral:lncRNA from 1 species